rnacentral:rRNA from 1 species
UAUCCAGAGAGCGGCGUACGGGUGCGUAACACGUGUGCAACCUACCUUUAUCUGGGGGAUAGCCUUUCGAAAGGAAGAUUAAUACCCCAUAAUAUAUUGAAUGGCAUCAUUUAAUAUUGAAAACUCCGGUGGAUAGAGAUGGGCACGCGCAAGAUUAGAUAGUUGGUGAGGUAACGGCUCACCAAGUCUGUGAUCUUUAGGGGUCCUGAGAGGGAGAUCCCCCACACUGGUACUGAGACACGGACCAGACUCCUACGGGAGGCAGCAGUGAGGAAUAUUGGACAAUGGGUGAAAGCCUGAUCCAGCCAUCCCGCGUGAAGGAUGACGGUCCUAUGGAUUGUAAACUUCUUUUGUACAGGGAUAAACCUACCCUCGUGAGGGUAGCUGAAGGUACUGUACGAAUAAGCACCGGCUAACUCCGUGCCAGCAGCCGCGGUAAUACGGAGGGUGCAAGCGUUAUCCGGAUUUAUUGGGUUUAAAGGGUCCGUAGGCGGACCUGUAAGUCAGUGGUGAAAUCUCAUAGCUUAACUAUGAAACUGCCAUUGAUACUGCAGGUCUUGAGUAAAUUUGAAGUGGCUGGAAUAAGUAGUGUAGCGGUGAAAUGCAUAGAUAUUACUUAGAACACCAAUUGCGAAGGCAGGUCACUAAGAUUUAACUGACGCUGAUGGACGAAAGCGUGGGUAGCGAACAGGAUUAGAUACCCUGGUAGUCCACGCCGUAAACGAUGCUAACUCGUUUUUGGAUUUUCGGAUUCAGAGACCAAGCGAAAGUGAUAAGUUAGCCACCUGGGGGAGUACGUCCGCAAGGAUGAAACUCAAAGGAAUUGACGGGGGCCCGCACAAGCGGUGGAUUAUGUGGUUUAAUUCGAUGAUACGCGAGGAACCUUACCAAGACUUAAAUGGGAAUUGACAGGUUUAGAAAUAGACCCUUCUUCGGACAAUUUUCAAGGUGCU